rnacentral:rRNA from 1 species
AGUGAACGCUGGCGGCGUGCUUAACACAUGCAAGUCGAACGAGAACGGAAUAUAGCUUGCUAUAUUUGUCAGCUAAGUGGCGCACGGGUGAGUAAUGUAUAGAUAACCUGCCCUUAAGAAAGGAAUAACAGUUGGAAACGACUGCUAAUGCCCUAUAUGCCUUUAAUACAUAAGUAUGCAAGGGAAACGCUUUAGUGCUUAAGGAUGGGUCUGUAUGGUAUCAGCUUGUUGGUGAGGUAAAGGCUCACAAGGCUAUGACGCCUAACUGGUUUGAGGGGAUGAUCAGUCACACUGGAACUGAGACACGGUCCAGACUCCUACGGGAGGCAGCAGUGGGGAAUAUUGCACAAUGGACGAAAGUCUGAUGCAGCAACGCCGCGUGGAGGAUGACACAUUUCGGUGCGUAAACUCCUUUUAUAUAGGAAGAUAAUGACGGUACUAUAUGAAUAAGCACCGGCUAACUCCGUGCCAGCAGCCGCCGUAA